rnacentral:rRNA from 1 species
GAACGAGGAUAUAUCCUUCGGGAUAUAAGCCGAGUGGCACAAGGGUGAGUAAUGCAUAGAUUACCUGCCUUUAGGAUAAGGGGAACUUUGUGAAAACGGAGCUAAUACUUAAUAAUACAAAAGAAAAUAAUUUUCUUUUGUCAAAGGGAGGGUAGCAAUACCUUUCGCCUAGAGGGGGGUUUAUGUCCUAUCAGCUUGUUGGUGGGGUAAUGGCCUACCAAGGCGAAGACGGGUAGCCGGUCUUAGAGGAUGGUCGGCCACACUGGGACUGAGACACUGCCCAGACUUCUACGGAAGGCUGCAGUCGAGAAUCUUUCGCAAUGCCCGAAAGGGUGACGAAGCGACGCCGCGUGGGUGAGGAAGGCCUUCGGGUUGUAAAGCCCUGUCAGGAGUUAUGAAAUGUAGGUGCGCUAAUAUCGUACUUAUUUGACAAAGGCUCCAAAGGAAGCCACGGCUAACUCUGUGCCAGCAGCCGCGGUAAUACAGAGGUGGCGAGCGUUGUUCGGAAUUAUUGGGCGUAAAGAGCACGUAGGUGGGUUUGUAAGUCAGAUGUGAAAGCCUUCUGUUCAACGGAAGAAUUGCAUCUGAAACUGCGAAUCUUGAGUAUAGGAGGGGAGAAUGGAACUUCUGGUGGAGCGGUGAAAUGCGUAGAUAUCAGAAGGAACGCCGGCGGCGAAAGCGAUUCUCUGGCCUAUUACUGACACUCAGUGUGCGAAAGCUAGGGGAGCAAACGGGAUUAGAUACCCCGGUAGUCCUAGCCGUAAACGAU